GGCAUGGUCCCGACCUUACUAUCAGCUUUAACACAACUUACACAUGCGAGUCUCCGCAACCCAGUGAGUAUGCCCUUAACCCCCUCCCGGGGGUAAGGAGCGGACAUCAGGCACAAACAUUAGCCCAAGACGCCCAGCCUAGCCACACCCCCAAGGGAAUUCAGCAGUGAUAGACAUUAAGCCAUAAGUGAAAACUUGACUCAGUUAGUGUUAAGAGGGCCGGUAAAACUCGUGCCAGCCACCGCGGUUAGACGAGAGGCCCUAGUUGAUAUUAUAACGGCGUAAAGGGUGGUUAGGGAUAAAUAAUAAUAAAGCCAAAUGGCCCCUUGGCCGUCAUACGCUUCUAGGUGUCCGAGGCCCUAUAUACGAAAGUAGCUUUAAUUGACCCGCCUGACCCCACGAAAACUGAGAAACAAACUGGGAUUAGAUACCCCACUAUGCUCAGCCGUAAACUUAGACAUCCAAAUACAAUUAGAUGUCCGCCAGGGUACUACGAGCACCAGCUUAAAACCCAAAGGACCUGACGGUGUCUCAGACCCCCCUAGAGGAGCCUGUUCUAGAACCGAUAACCCCCGUUUAACCUCACCACUUCUAGCCACCCCAGCCUAUAUACCGCCGUCGUCAGCUUACCCUGUGAAGGAAACAAAAGUAAGCAAAAUGGGCACAACCCAGAACGUCAGGUCGAGGUGUAGCGCAUGAAAUGGAAAGAAAUGGGCUACAUUUUCUAUUACAGAAUAUUACGAACGUGCACCAUGAAAUAGUGCUUGAAGGAGGAUUUAGUAGUAAAAGGGAAAUAGAGUGUCCCUUUGAACCCGGCUCUGAGACGCGUACACACCGCCCGUCACUCUCCCCGUCAAAAUGCACCAAAAUACCUAAUGCAACAGCACUGACAAGGGGAGGCAAGUCGUAACAUGGUAAGUGUACCGGAAGGUGCACUUGGAUCAAACCCAGGGCGUGGCUGAGUUAGUUAAGCAUCUCACUUACACCGAGAAGACAUCCAUGCAAGUUGGAUCACCCUGAGCCGAACAGCUAGCUUAAUCACCAAAUAAAUGAACAAUAUAGAUAAAAUUGAGUAAACUAAAUACAAAAACUAAAUCAUUCUUUUGCCUGAGUAUGGGAGACAGAAAGGGCUACGCCGAAGCGAUAGAAACAGUACCGCAAGGGAAAGCUGAAAGAGAAAUGAAAAAACCCAUAUAAGCAC
rnacentral:ncRNA from 1 species